rnacentral:rRNA from 1 species
GACCUGCGGAGGGAUCAUUGCUGGAACGCGCUUCGGCGCACCCAGAAACCCUUUGUGAACUUAUACCUAUUGUUGCCUCGGCGUCAGGCCGGCCUCUUCACUGAGGCCCCCCGGAGACGGGGAGCAGCCCGCCGGCGGCCAACUAAACUCUUGUUUCUAUAGUGAAUCUCUGAGUAAAAAACAUAAAUGAAUCAAAACUUUCAACAACGGAUCUCUUGGUUCUGGCAUCGAUGAAGAACGCAGCGAAAUGCGAUAAGUAAUGUGAAUUGCAGAAUUCAGUGAAUCAUCGAAUCUUUGAACGCACAUUGCGCCCCCUGGUAUUCCGGGGGGCAUGCCUGUUCGAGCGUCAUUUCAACCCUCAAGCCUGGCUUGGUGAUGGGGCACUGCUUCGAAAGGAGCAGGCCCUGAAAUUCAGUGGCGAGCUCGCCAGGACCCCGAGCGUAGUAGUUAUAUCUCGCUUUGGAAGGCCCUGGCGGUGCCCUGCCGUUAAACCCCCAACUUCUGAAAAUUUGACCUCGGAUCAGGUAGGAAUACCCGCUGAACUUAAGCAUAUCAAUAAGCCGGAGGAA